rnacentral:rRNA from 1 species
UACGUAGGGUGCGAGCGUUGUCCGGAAUUAUUGGGCGUAAAGGGCUCGUAGGCGGUUUGUCGCGUCGGGAGUGAAAACCCAGGGCUUAACCCUGGGCUGGCUUCCGAUACGGGCAGACUAGAGGUAUGCAGGGGAGAACGGAAUUCCUGGUGUAGCGGUGAAAUGCGCAGAUAUCAGGAGGAACACCGGUGGCGAAGGCGGUUCUCUGGGCAUUACCUGACGCUGAGGAGCGAAAGCGUGGGGAGCGAACAGG